rnacentral:misc_RNA from 1 species
GUUGGCGUGUAUUGGCAUGUUGGAUCCCUGCUCGGGCAGCGACGACAUCUCAUGCAAGCCUCUUCAUUCCUCGGCCCAAGUGCUUGCUUGCCUUGGCCGGCGUCGGGUUUCCUGUGCUGAAUACCUAUAGCGAGGGCAAUCGGUUGGCUACAACGUCCCACUUCCGCCUUGUGCUGCGCCUCUCGGGGCCGCGGCGCGGGKUGGACCUCAAAGCAUUCGCCGUGUACCACGUCCCGUGCUAGUGCCUCGCACAUGCUCGGGUUGUCGGCCCAUGGCGUCUYGCUCGAUCUCUCGGAUGCGGAAUAGUGAGUGGGCACGRGGCCCUCGGCCUCUAUUUGCCCCGAAACAAGCGUUCUACGCUUCGUGCGAACGACUGUCGAUUCCGU